GGAAGGAUCAUUAUCGAAAUCGAAAGCCUAGGAGAAAGGGGGGGAGGAUGCGGGGCUGUCGCUGGCCUCUUUGGCAUGUGCACGCGUCGGUCCCUCUCCCGCCUUCGAAGCUUUCAAGUUCUCAACACCUGUGUGCACCCGCUGUAGGUCCUUCGGGACCUAUGUCUUCUCUUCCGAACUCGCAUGUCUACAGAAUGUGUAUGCGUCGCGUUGGCGACUGCGAAACCUUUGUACAACUUUCAGCAAUGGAUCUCUUGGCUCUCGCAUCGAUGAAGAACGCAGCGAAUCGCGAUAAGUAAUGUGAAUUGCAGAUUUUCCGUGAAUCAUCGAAUCUUUGAACGCACCUUGCGCUCCUUGGUAUUCCGAGGAGCAUGCCUGUUUGAGUGUCAUCGAAAUAUCGGACCGAAUGACUUCGAUGCUGUCGGAGCUCGGUUUCGGAUGUUGGGAGUGGUGCGGGCGGCAACGUCGGCUCUCCUCAAAAGCAUUAGCUGUGGGCGCGAGCCUCGCAUGGCACGGCCGCUUUGACGUCGUAAUGAUCGUCGUGGGCCUGGAAGUGCGUGGGUUGACGUGUCUCCAUGCUUCGAAACCUUCUGCGAGUCCGUCCGUCGUCCGGACGGUCGCACGUAUCGAUGCUUGACCUCAAAUCAGGUAGGACUACCCGCUGAACUUAAGCAUAU
rnacentral:rRNA from 1 species